CUUCCUGCUGGUUUACAGUAGAGCUUUUAAUUCAGGUUAAUGGACCACCCGUUCCCCGUGUCCCAGGUUUCUUUGCUAGAGCCAGAUUCCCAGGGAACAGCUCACAAGUUCGACUGCCUACGCUGUGCUGCUUGCAUCUGACCUCAGGCCCCCUUUCUGUCCCGGUGUCUGGUUCGCCCAUGCCUGUGUCCGGCUCUGCCCCACAGAAAUAGGCUGUGCAGCCAAAAAGGCAAAUGCAAACAGGACAACAUGUUUCCGUGCACGCCGAUGCCCUUUCACCCCAACCGAGUCAGGUACUACCGGUCUUCUGAAAGGAGCUGCUGUAUUGCACCGUGACCAGCUGAUCGCAGGUUUUCUGUUCAACUCUCUUUAGGCAGACAACCCUGCGCACGGGUCUGGCCAAGAGCUGGGACAUGCAUUUGUCUAGCAGAAAAUAAGGGGGGGAAAGUCAAGUUGCAAGCAAUGUACUUACACUCGCGCCAUCUACUGGCAGCAUCCCCUAAAAACCAUCAGGACUUUUGGUCUUUUUCCUUCUGUUGAGGAAGACCUUAGUCUCACCCAAAUCUCCUCUGAGCAACAGGACUGAAACUACGCAGAUCUAACCCGGGUCAGACUGAGACUUCAAAACACUUCGUCCCAGUAGAAGGUGGAGAUAAAAAGCACCGGCGGAAGAGGAAAACCUCAAGAAAGUGAACAGUGCUUUGCAGAUCAAACUGGCUUUCCUCUUUGCCCGUUGCUUUUAGGCUAGUGUUUGACAUUGGUGCCAGGGAGAGGCGAGCUGGAUGCCAGGCAGGAUCAGAGGAGCCCAAACCAGAUGCGGCGGCGGGGCAGAGGCCACUUGAACAACAAGCAGAUCAUUAUUGGGCUACUUACUUCCUUUGCAAGAACAUGAGUUAAGGAGCCCAGGUGUGGGGAGAAGAUGAAGGGGAGACAAAGUGAUGAUCAGAGGAGGGAAGUUAAGCGUGACUGUGAAAAGAAAAAAAAAGAGCCUAAAUUUGGGCUCCCAAAGAGGGAGAGGGGUUUUUUUUUAAGAAGUGCUGAGCCCUCAUUAGCUCCCACUGAUUUCAGCAAAGGUUUCUGAGCCUUGGAAAAUGAACUAGGUUAUAUGAAAAAGCCCCGAGUCAUAAUUCAGGGAGUCAUGGAAAUGUUUGGAAGAAAAGCUCUUGGCGCUAGCACACACC